UACGGGGGGGGCAAGCGUUGUUCGGAAUUACUGGGCGUAAAGGGCUCGUAGGCGGCCAACUAAGUCGGAUGUGAAAUCCCCAGGCUUAACUUGGGAACUGCAUCCGAUACUGGAUGGCUUGAAUCCGGGAGAGGGAUGCGGAAUUCCAGGUGUAGCGGUGAAAUGCGUAGAUAUCUGGAGGAACACCUGUGGUGUAGACAGCUUACUGGACCACGACUGACGCUGAGACACGAAAGCGUGGGUAGCAAACAGG
rnacentral:rRNA from 1 species